GAUGAACGCUGGCGGCGUGCUUAACACAUGCAAGUCGAACGGAAAGGCUCCUGCUUGCAGGGGUACUCGAGUGGCGAACGGGUGAGUAACACGUGGGUGAUCUGCCCUGCACUUCGGGAUAAGCCUGGGAAACUGGGUCUAAUACCGGAUAGGACGAUGGUUUGGAUGCCAUUGUGGAAAGUUUUUCGGUGUGGGUUGAGCUCGCGGCCUAUCAGCUUGUUGGUGGGGUAAUGGCCUACCAAGGCGUCGACGGGUAGCCGGCCUGGGAGGGUGUACGGCCACAUUGGGACUGAGAUACGGCCCAGACUCCUACGGGAGGCAGCAGUGGGGAAUAUUGCACAAUGGGCGCAAGCCUGAUGCAGCGACGCCGCGUGGGGGAUGACGGCCUUCGGGUUGUAAACUCCUUUCGCUAGGGACGAAGCGCAAGUGACGGUACCUGGAGAAGAAGCACCGGCUAACUACGUG
rnacentral:rRNA from 1 species